rnacentral:rRNA from 1 species
UAGGGAAUAUUGGACAAUGGGUGAGAGCCUGAUCCAGCCAUGCCGCGUGCAGGAUGAAGGCGUUAUGCGUUGUAAACUGCUUUUUAUAUAGGAAGAAAUAGUCCUUGCGAGGAAAGUUGACGGUACUAUAUGAAUAAGCACCGGCUAACUCCGUGCCAGCAGCCGCGGUAAUACGGAGGGUGCAAGCGUUGUCCGGAUUUAUUGGGUUUAAAGGGUGCGUAGGCGGUUUAUUAAGUCAGUGGUGAAAGACGGUCGCUCAACGAUUGCAGUGCCAUUGAUACUGGUAGACUUGAGUAUGAUUGAGGUAGCUGGAAUGGAUAGUGUAGCGGUGAAAUGCAUAGAUAUUAUCCAGAACACCAAUUGCGUAGGCAAGUUACUAAGUCAUAACUGACGCUGAGGCACGAAAGUGUGGGUAUCAAACAGGAUUAGAUACCCUGGUAGUCCCUGAGCGGGCUGGCAAGGCGCAU